rnacentral:rRNA from 1 species
GACGAACGCUGGCGGCGUGCCUAAUACAUGCAAGUCGCGCGGAAUGAAGAAGAAGCUUGCUUCUUCUGAUUUUAGCGGCGGACGGGUGAGUAACACGUGGGCAACCUACCUUGUAGAUUGGGAUAACUCCGGGAAACCGGGGCUAAUACCGAAUAAUCCAUUUUGCUUCAUGGCGAGAUGUUAAAAGGCGGCUUCGGCUGUCACUACGAGAUGGGCCCGCGGCGCAUUAGCUAGUUGGUAGGGUAAUGGCCUACCAAGGCGACGAUGCGUAGCCGACCUGAGAGGGUGAUCGGCCACACUGGGACUGAGACACGGCCCAGACUCCUACGGGAGGCAGCAGUAGGGAAUCUUCCACAAUGGACGAAAGUCUGAUGGAGCAACGCCGCGUGAGUGAAGAAGGUUUUCGGAUCGUAAAACUCUGUUGUAAGGGAAGAACACGUACGAGAGUAACUGCUCGUACCUUGACGGUACCUAACCAGAAAGCCACGGCUAACUACGUG